CCCCAAGAAGUAUGGGCUUGUUGCUUUCCAGUGCUGGUGACCUGUUCCCUUUGACGAUCCCUAGGUGGAGAUGGGGCAUGAGGAUCCUCCAAGGGAAUAGCUCACCACCAUUGGACAAUAGCCCUA
ensembl:misc_RNA predicted gene, 27927